UCCGGUUUGACACCGGCAGUCUCCCUAGAGUGCCCGGCAUAACCCGCUGGUAACUAGGGACGAGGGUUGCGCUCGUUGCGGGACUUAACCCAACACCUCACGGCACGAGCUGACGACAGCCAUGCACCACCUGUGCACGAGCCCCGAAGGGCUUACGUAUUUCUACGCAAUUCCCGUGCAUGUCAAGCCCUGGUAAGGUUCUUCGCGUUGCGUCGAAUUAAACCACAUGCUCCGCUGCUUGUGCGGGCCCCCGUCAAUUCCUUUGAGUUUCAGUCUUGCGACCGUACUCCCCAGGCGGAUAACUUAAUGCGUUAGCUGCGCCACCAAAAGCCCAUGGCCCCUGACAGCUAGUUAUCAUCGUUUACGGCGUGGACUAC
rnacentral:misc_RNA from 1 species